GGAAGUAGCCGGAAUCUCUGAAAGACUGACCGACUGACUCUGACAGGAUCCGGGGCUGAGGGAAGGAGGCGGCGGCCAUGGAGUUGGGCGAGCUGCUCUACAACAAGUCUGAGUACAUCGAGACGGCAUCUGGGAACAAAGUCAGUCGCCAGUCAGUGUUGUGUGGAAGCCAGAACAUCGUUCUCAAUGGCAAGGCUGGAGUGCAAUGGCGCGAUCUCGGCUCACUGCAACCUCCGCCUCCCAGGUUCAAGCGAUUCUCCUGCCUCAGCCUCCCGAGUAGCUGGGAUUACUGCAGACCAUUGUGAUGAAUGACUGUAUUAUCCGAGGGGAUCUGGCAAAUGUAAGAGUUGGACGUCAUUGUGUUGUGAAAAGUCGUAGUGUCAUAAGGCCACCAUUCAAGAAGUUCAGCAAAGGUGUUGCAUUCUUUCCUUUACAUAUUGGAGACCAUGUCUUUAUUGAGGAAGAUUGUGUGGUCAACGCAGCACAGAUUGGUUCCUAUGUUCAUGUUGGGAAGAACUGUGUGAUUGGGCGCCGAUGUGUGUUGAAAGACUGCUGCAAAAUUCUUGACAACACAGUAUUACCUCCAGAAACUGUGGUUCCACCAUUCACUGUCUUCUCAGGCUGCCCAGGACUCUUCUCAGGGGAGCUCCCGGAGUGCACUCAGGAGCUGAUGAUUGACGUCACCAAGAGCUACUACCAGAAGUUUUUGCCCCUGACGCAAGUCUAGCAUCUCUGCCUCAUGUCUUGAAUCUGCUUGAGCUCUAAGAUGAACCUGGGGACAAAGUGAGCCAGUCAGCACCUACAAAGAGCUUUUGUGUCUUUGACAUCUACCACCCUCCUCCUUUUAAAAAAUUUCUUUAGAAUUUCUCAAUCUUCAAGGCUCUAAGUGCUUAAGAAUUCACUAACAGACAGACCAUCUGGAGGAGCUGUCUUCAAAUGCUGUGCUUACACCUUAUCUAUGAACAGUCACUUUGUACCAUUAUCUGUGGAACACAGAAUCAUCUGUUCCCAACACUCCAGCCCCUUGGUCCUGUGGAUGGCUGGAUCCCGCCUGAAACGGACCUGCAGAGCAGCAGCACCCUUCCGGUGUGGAGGCUAUGUAGCUGGUGCGCUGCUCACGGCCAUUCACUGCCCAUGCUGAGCGCCUCUCACACAGGUAAUGCCCAGCUUUUCUGCUGCUAACACAUUUGGCCAGUUGUUGCAGUUGCUCAUCAUCUUGGGAAAGGUGUUUGUGACUUUUCAGAGCCCAGAUUCCUGUUGUCUAUUAAAACUUGAAGGGAGGGGUGAAUAGUGUUUCUCUCUUCUUCCCAAAAUGACCUUAGCUGUCCUAGGAUAGUUAGUAAAAGACUUUUUAGCAUUUUGACCUAGGGCCUUUGGCUUUCACUAAAAGUGGGGACCUCAGUAUCCCAGAUUGUAAUUUUGCCAAGUGUUAGAUUUGAGUCUCUCAUGUGGAUGCAUUAGUCAGGUGGUUACUCCUUGCUUCAAGGUACUUACCUUAUUUCAUUGAAGACACCGCAUUUGUGAACUCUUGCUUCCUGGCCUAGAACCAUUCAGCCUACCCUGUAUUUGCCAUAAACUCCACAAUUCACACCAAAAUGUCUGUACUUAGAGCUAAUUCGCAUAUAUACAGGAAGGGCUCUUAGAAUCAGUUUGUGGGCACAGAGCCUCAGGAGUAAAUGAAGUUACUAGGGCUGUUCUUACCAUCUCCUUCUGGCCAAAUAGCACAACAUUUCCUCGUUCUGCUCUGACCUCUUAGCUUAGAAGGAAGAUUCAGAAGUGAGGGGCUAAGAAGGUUGUCCUUGCCUAAUGCUCUGAUCUGUAAGUGAAUAGGGCAGAACAGUUCAGCCUUGAGGUUAGAAUUUAGCAGGAGCUAUCCUGACUUAAUAUCCAGUUGUGGGGUUUGCAAAACAAAACAGCUGUAUGUAAUCAUUGCCACUAGUUCCAUCUAGAACUCCUUUCUAGUUUGUUAUUUUUAAAAUGUUUAUACAUAAAACCACCAAAAUACAUAGCUUCGACAAGAUGGAAGUUUAUUUCUCUCUCCCAUAACAGUGCAGUGAUAGUCAGCUGGUCCAGGCCAGGCAAGGGGCUGGUCCAUGAUGUCAUCAGGCACCCAGGUUCCUACUGUCUUGCCAUGUGGCCACAGUUAGCAACAAAGGAGGCUGUAAAUUUAGUUUCUACUUGGGCAGCCAAAACUCUGAGGAAGGAGAUUCUGCUAGUAAAAAGGAGUGGGGGAAGAAUGGCCAUUGGGAGACAACAAGCAGACUCAACCAGGCCUCUUUGUUGGCUUCCUUUCCUCCUGCUGCACAUGAGCCUUCGCCGUGCAUUUGGAGCCAUGACAGCUGAUAGCUCCAGACCUGCAUCCUCCUAGCUUGGGGGCUCUGAAUGAAAGGUUUCUUCCCUUCCAGUUCGAAUUUGGAAACUCCCAAAGUUCUCAAUGGUUUGUUGUGAGUUCCAUGUCCUCUUGGAUCAGUCACUGUGGCCAUGCAUGUUUGGCCACAUGAUUAAUCCAGUCUGGGUCAUGACCUUUUCUUCAUCCAAAACAAGGUGAUGGGAAGACAAAAACAAUAGCUACUACAAACAAUAGGAGUUUAUAAUUAUGUGCUGAUGUAUUCGAAGAUGUGUUGACAGUCGUGAGUGUGUAUCCUAGGAAAGGCGAGCUGGACUCUGUCUCCAUGGUGGCUCUCACCCCAGGGACCUAGGAACAGCCUGUCACCACACAAUUACUUUUAUAACCCUGGAGAUGAAAAUCUCCUUGUCCUCAAAAUACUUCCAGAAGAACAACCAGAUGGGAAGGACCUUGGUUGGGACUCUUUCCAGUUCACUUGGGGCAGAGGGAAUUUAAUGGCUCACGUAGCUGAAAAGGAUGGGCUAGAUUGGGCUUCAGGCUGCAUCCCAGGACUCCAAACAGGGAUCUGUCUCUUUGGCUCUCAGCUCUGCUUUCAUUUGAGUUGGCUUUAUUCUUGGGCUUCACAGUGUGGCCCCACAGCACCAGUUAUUGAUAAAAAGAGCUCCCCUUUGCUGACAGAACUGCUGGAUUUGGUUCUCAUUGGUCCAGACGAGGAAGGUAUCCAGCCUCAAGUCAUCAUUGUGGCCAGGAAGAUGGAAUACACCAAAUGGACAGGCCUGGCAUGUACCCACAGAGACUGAGAGUUGGUGCUGGUGGUUGUGGUGGCAGAUGAUAUUACCUGAAGAAGGGACGAAUGGGUGCUGGGCAGGACAAAGCAUCAGCUGUCCAGUUCAGGCCUCUCCUCUUUCCCUGGUGUCUUCAUUUUCCUCCGUCUCCCUGCUGUCCCUUACCCUCUGCCCAAUCUCUCAUUACUCCUGGUCUUGGGAGUUGCCUUCUGAGGAUACUCCACUGGGGGUACCUGAGCCUGGAUUAGAGGGCAGGGGGAGGAUAUUGCCUAGCCAAAGUGGGUGUUCAAUAAAGAACCAUUUGGAGAUGGUCUUCUGUCUGGAACUGCUUCCUUUUUGUUUUAUUAUUUUUCCCCAGAUGAGCUGACUGGGCCAUGGAACUGCAUCCUUAUGGUUCCCAUAGCACCUUACCGAGGCGCCCUUAUCAAUAGAGUUUUAGUUAUGUACCUGUGUUCUUGUCUGAACCCCUACUAACUGUGAGCUCCUGAGGAGUCAGGCCUGAGUCUGUGGGUCAUCUAGCACAUCCUUAAUAGAAUGAUUGCCUGGAUGUGACCACCCUCACCCCCAACCCUCACACACCCUGCCAGCAUGCCUCAGACCUUACCCCAGCUCAAGAUAAGUCUCAGAUUGCAGGAUACCUGCUGCAGGGAACAAAGGUGAAUGAUUGUCUUGUGAGCCUCCUGUUGACUGAUUCUGUUUUACAUGGCUGCACAGAGCCCUUGUGGUUAUUUGGGGUUGGGGUGGUGGCUUCUGUAUUAGUCACUUCUGCAUGAACCAUUUCACUCAGGAUCUGAGGCCACAGUUCCUUUCUUAGUCACUGAUACAUCUGGCAGACUUGAAAUUAAUCAGACAAACAUUGUUCAUAGUUAACAUAUCCUUGGAAGUUUCUCAGCUAUAAGGAAGAGGUCUUGGUGGCUAGGGAGGCCUUUCUCUGUAUCCUGUUCUAUCCAGUGAGAGCCUAGAGGGUGCUGCCCAGCCAUAUUCUGGCUAGCCUCAGCGGUUCUCCUGAAAAAAAAUUGGCAUCUGACAACCUGGAUGGUGACUAUAGGUAGUCAAAUCCAGCUGGCUGGUCUCCUGGGGGUUAGCUUCCAUGGAGCUGCAAGUCCCCUGAAAUGAUACUGGCAGUGUUGGGACAGCGUGUCCGAAGGCCUGGUUUUUUCAGAACUGGUCUCAGCAAAAUGUCUCGCCAACUUCUACAGUUCCCAUAAGUACAUGAUAACUGAAACACUUCUAGAGCCCCCCAGCAAUGGGCUUGUGCUUUUAGUAGAAUAUGUGCUUGCUUCCAUUUAGGGGUAAGAAGGUGGGCCCCUCACCAUAUGCUGCACAGAGAAGAGAGACACCAUCACUCAUUUAUUCAUUUAACAAGUGCUUUCCAAGCCACUACUAGGUGCCAAGCACUUCCUAGGUCCUGGGGAUACAGUGGAGACUAAGAUGGAGCCAGUUCUUUCUCAUAGGGAUCUCACAGCUUAGUGAGUGAGAAAGCCAAAGAGUCAAAAUACAGAGAGGGUCUGAGGGGCCCAUUUUGAGAGCCAUCAUAGUGGUGAGGAGUGUGAGUGCUAGAGUCAGGCUGAUCAAAUCCCAGCCUGCCAUUGGCUAGCCUUGUGACUUUGAGCAAGUUAUCUUACUUCGUGGAACCUCAGGUUUCUCAUCCAUAAAAUGGGGAAGUUGGAUAGGGUAUUAUGAUGAUUGAAAUGCAUUUAUACAUGUAAAGCAUAAGUACUGGCUCAGGGUGAGCACUCAAUAAACGGCAGUUUAUUAGGCACUUUUAUUAGGAAGUGAUACACCUUGAGCAAAACCCCUUAGAGUAUAAGGCAUAGCAUUCUUACAUAUUUUUAAAAUUUAAAAUAAAAUUUAAAACAUCUUGCCCUUUAUAAUCAGUCCGCCACAAACAAGAGAUGGAGAAAUCACCCUUCCUUGUUUUGUAUCUAUGGGGUGCAAACAUUUAAUCCUCCCAACUGUCAAAAAAGUGAGAGUUUCACAGCCUGUUUUACAGCAGAGGAAACUGAUAUUCAGAGAGGUUAAGUAAAUUUGCCCAAUGCCACACAUCUAAUAAAUGGCUGAGCUGGAAUCAAGGCCAGCUCUUACUUGGCUGCAAAAUCCAUGUUUUAUGCAGCUCCUCCACUAUCUUGGCCUCCAAGGCAGCUGGCUUUGAACACUACCCUUGCAGCCCAGUCAGCCAAUCCCUUGCUCUCCUGAAGCUUUUGCUGGUGGGCCAGCCCCACCUGCUUUCCUUGUGCACUCUGACUUGGACCCUGAAGUGAGAAGAGUUGGCACAGGACAUCUUACUUCCCUGAAAACAGUACCUGGACUUUUCUGUAUCUUCACAUCCAUUGGGCAUUGGGCAAAUGGGUCAUGCAGAUGAAAACCAUCCAAGAUAAGAGACAUGGGAGUGAAAUUCACACCCACUCUGGCUUUCAUACCAUGGGUCUGAACAUUAGCCCAUGGUGUUUCUUGGCCAUACUGACCUGUGCCAUUUCAGCUGCAUUCAUCUCAGUUGGUGUUGUCUGCUGGCUGCUCUUUCUGAUUUCCCACAGGAGCAGUAAGAACCUGAGGAAGAGUAGGGUCAGAGGAGUCUGGGAGAAUGAGGAAAUAUGAGAGCCCCAGGAACUGAAAAGGCCUGUGAGAGACUCUGAGCUUCCUGGGAACAGGUAUAGGUUCUUUUUAUUUCAAUAAUAACAGAAACAACUGUCAAAACCAUGUGCCUGUACUAUUUGGAGUGCUGUCCUUGCAGAAUCUCAUUAUAAGAACCUUAGGAAAUAGGCACAUCAUCUCCUGGAUAGAAUCCUAGGAAAUGGGCACUAUAAUGGGCACUUUAUCCCAUUUUAUAAACAUGGAAAUUGAGGCACAGAGAGAUUAAGUACUUUCCCAAGGUCAUACAGCUAGUGAUGGAGGAGCUAGCAUUUGAACCCGGAGUUUUUAGUCUAUUGAGUUUAACCGACAGAUCAUACUGUGUUUUGGUAGGGAGGGAGGGAGGAAGCAAGCAAGUGAACAAAUGAGUCUGGGAUUUAGGACUUGCCAGACAAACAAGGCCCAAGAGGCAAGUGUGCAGGUGGGUGUAGUUGGGAGUCAGCAGAGUUGGGUUGGAAUUCAAGCUUUGCCACCUGCUGGCUAUAAACCUUGGUUGGGUAAGUAACCCAAGGUAAAUGAGAUCAUCUCUGUAAAACUCUUAGCCUUGUGCCUGGCACAUAGUAAAUGCUUAAUAAGGGUUCACUGUUAGUAUUACUGUUACUGAUAACAUACAAAUAGAUUGUAUUAAUGGACCAUAAUUGCAACUGUAUAAAACAAAUUCCAUGUUUGGCCAGGCGCAGUGGCUCAAGCCUGUAAUCCCAUCACUUCGGGAGGCCGAGGUGGGCAGAUCACGAGGUCAGGAGAUCAAGACCAUCCUGGCUAACACAGUGAAACCCCAUCUCUACUAAAAAUACAAAAAAAUUAGCCAGGCAUGGUGGCGGGUGCCUGUAUUCCCAGCUACUUGGGAGGCUGAGGCAGGAGAAUGGCGCGAACCCAGGGGGCGGAGCUUGCAGUGAGCUGUAAUUGUGCCACUGCACUCCAGCCUGGGCGACAGAGCGAGACUCCGUCUCAAAAAAAAAAAAAAAAACCACAACAACAACAACAAAAAUUCCAUGUUGACAAGGAUGGGAAUAUGAGAACAUGGAAACAGCUAUGAAAAGACAUAAGAGAAUUAGGAGGAUUUUCUUUAAUAUAUCAUUUUUUAAAAAAAAACUUGCUUGUAUUUGUUUAUUUUUUAAAUAGAGACAGGGUUUUACCAUGUUGCCCAGACUAGUCUUGAACUCCUGGGCUCAAGCGAUCUUGGCCUCCCUAAGUGCUGGGAUUACAGUCAUGAGCCACUGUGCCCCGCCAUUUUUUAAUAAACCUUUCUAAUGGAACAAGUAAAACACAUGCAGUGGAUGCUCAGCAGGCCUUGAGUGUGUGAAUGAAAAAUAUUUGAACUUGUUUUUACUGGUUGAUUUCAUUGCUUAAAAAACAUACCUUAGCUGGACGCAGUGGCGUGCGCCUGUAGUCCCAGCUACUCAUCUCUUAAAAAAAAAGUUUUAUGCUUGUUAAUUUCAUAAAUGCUAGAGGGAUCACCCUAAUCAAAUAAAGCUACUCAAAAAUAAAAUAUGAAAGGUGUUAGUGGGAUACAGCUUUCUAGUUUUUUGCCACUAGUGGAUAGGUUGGAAUUUAAAUUCUUCGGAUAUUGGAACCAGAACAGGCUGUAACUGAUUAUUUUUGCUGUGAUUCGUGCUUACUGGAGCCUCGGGAAAGAGGGAGACAACAUGUAAAGAGAAGCAAUCUGUUUGGAAAAUGAAAAUACAGUUAAAUUGCUAAUGAACCCUUGUCAAAAUCAAAUGUCUCCCCUUAGAGGCUGAUGAUUGUCUAGUCUAAUAUGCAUUUUUUUUGAGUGGGUCAAUUGGACUCUAAGACCAACAAGAUAAAAAGGCAGCCUUGCAUGUCACUUGGACCACAGCUGUCUGGCCAUGCAGCAUGCCUUCACUGCUGCUGAAGAAAAGCAGCUGCUUGUUGAGAAUCUCAAAUUCUCAGAUCCUAAUUGCCUGGCCCUGACUCUAAGCUGAAACCUGCUACUGUCUGCCUUGAGCUGUUUUAGCCUCAACACGAGCUAUGCUGAACUGAAAGCAGGCACAGGCUCAAUGACCAGGACUCAGACGUUGGGGCCGUUGGAGAUUAAGGACCCCCUCCGUGGAGCGCUAAACUAUGAAAACGUCCUGGAACCUGGCUGAAAAGGGCUUAUUCUCUAAUGGGACCAUCUAAGAUCAAGCUGCUGAUAGGCUCUUUGUCUCUAAUACAGAGGCUAAUUGCAUUCCUAACUUCUAAUAUUUGCCAAACGCUCCAAGCUGGGGAAGGGCACAUCGCAAGGACUAUGACCUCUCCUCCUGCUUUUGACAGACCAGACUCAAACCUUCUCUGGGGCUUCUCUCACUGCUGUUGACUUGUUGCAUUCAGCUUUUGGGAUUAGUUGCAGCUUGCAACAGUGGACUGACAGCCUGACUCUACUUCCCUCACUUUUCUCCCAGCACACACAGCUUAGUAAGGUAGGUGGAUUAUUAAAACGUAGCUGUCCCCAGAAAGGUAUUAGGCUUUUCUAGUCUGCUCAUUGAAUAAUCAGGACAAAAGGGGUAGAAGAUUAUGUAAACACAUUUUGAAAUUUUUAAAAAUUCAGGGUUUCAUCCUUUAUUAGUUUGCUAAGGAUACCAUAACAAAGUACCACAAACUGAGUGACUUACACAAUAGAAACUUAUUUUCCUGCAGUUCUGGAGGCUGAAAGUCCAGGACAAGGUGUCGACAGCUUUAGAUUCUUCUGAGGCCUCUCUGCUUGGCUUGCAGAUGGCUGCCUUCUUACUGUGUCCUUGUAUGGUCCCUCUGUCUGGGUGUCUGUGUCCUAAUCUUCUCUUUUAAUAAGGAUACCACUCAGGUUGGAUUAGGGCCCAUCCUAACAAUCCCAUUUUAACUUAGUUACCUCUUCAGGGCCUAUCUUCAAAUAUACUCACAUUUUGAGGUACAGGUAGAUGGUUAGGGCUUCAGCAUGAAUUUUUGUGGGGACAUAAUUCAACCCUCCACACAUAAUUACCAAUUUCUGAAUGUCUUUCUGGUUAAGUUGCAUAAAAACGUUUAUCUACUUGAACUCUAGGAUGAUAGUUAAAAAAAAAAAUGUUGGCCAGGCGCAGUGAUGGAUGCAUAUGAUCCCAGCACUUUGGGAGGCCGAGGUGGGCAGAUUGCUUGAGUUCAGGAGUUCAAGACCAGCCUGGCAACAUGGUGAAAUCCUGUGUCUACAAAAAAUGCAAAAAUUAGCUGGACAUGAUGGCAUGUGCCUUUGGUUCCAGCUACUUAGGAGGCUGAGGUAGGAGGAUGGCUUGAGCCCAGGAGGCGGAGGUUGCAGUGAGCCAAAAUCGUGCCACCGCACUCUAGCCUGGGCAACAGAGCCAGACCAUAUCUCAAAAAAAAAAAAAAAAAAGUUUAUCUACAAAAAUGCUUUUGUGCCUCUUACAUACAACCCUUCCAGAGGAAAGGCCUAGCUGAGAGUAAGAGAUGGUUGAAAAAAUGCAAUGUUAUGAUUGCUGAACAGGGCACGACUGUUUUUGUAAUAUUGGAGAAAAUAAUUAAAGCCUGGCACCUGGGGAGGCUUGAUCCCUGGAAGCCUCCUCUUGCUGAAGGAAAAUUCCCAGUGCUGCCUUUCCAUGUGCUGUGAGUGCUUUGAGUUCAGACUGACAACAGAGUGGGUCUAGCUUCUAUGCUUUCCAUGAAGAUCUCCCACAAAUGUCAUCCAUGCUCAUGAGAUGGAUCAACUUGUAUCCUGAACAAGCAAAACUGUUUGGGACUCACUGCCUUCAGGCAGUCCCUUGGAAGCCAAGGACUCUGGGAACUUUUCAGAUGGGACUGGAAACACUUGGGCAGGAGUUCCCCUGGUAGGAGGUCUGUUCACCUGUACAGCCUAAUGGAUGUCCUGCUUGAGGUGCCCUAAUAUUGCAAAUUCUUUGUUUACAGGGGUACCACCUGUGCCCCUGGGACUGUGCUUCUGUACAUGACCACAACUCUCAUGAUGUCCCCUCAGCCCUGGAAAGCAUUUGGGUUAGCUUCCGCUUACUGGUCAGAGUUAUACUGUGCCUGAAUUGAUGCCUCAGGUCAGGUUGAAAAAAAAAAAAAAGGUUCAGACAGCAAUUAAGGGCUGGGCACGGUGGCUCAUGCCUGUAAUCCCGGCACUUUGGGAGGCUGAGGUGGGCAGAUCACCUGAGGUCAGGAGUUUGAGACCAGCCUGACCGACAUGGUGAAAAGUAAAAAUACAAAAAUAAAAAAAUUAGCUGGGUGUGGUGGUGUGCACCUGUAGUCCCUACAAAAAUAAAAAAAUUAGCUGGGUGUGGUGGUGUGCACCUGUAGUCCCAGCUACUCGGGAGGCUGAGGCAGGAGAAUCGCUUGAACCCAGGAGGUGGAGGCUGCAGUGAGCCAAGAUCACGCCACUGCACUCCAGCCUGGGUGACAGAGCAAGACUCCAUCUCAACAACAACAACAAAAAGGAAUUAAGGAGGAAGCCACCUGGCUUCCUAAGAUAGACUUUAUGGUUAAUGGGAUUUAUUUUAGCUGGUUAAGUCCAGGACCCCUACCAGGAAGAACUGAGGUCCAUAUUUGAGGUUGGUCUCACCCUUUUGCAUGUGGUCCUACUAAUAAUAAUUUUGCUGUAAAGAAGCCUCAAUAAGGAGAUGGACUGUGUGAAAAGAGAUGAGAAAGCAGGCCUGUUUGCAAGGCUGGCCCUUGGCUGGCAUCUGAAAGCUUGGAUUUCAGGAGGGUUCUCAUUACUCCCUAAAUGAUAAGAGUGGCUCACUGUGCCUAAACUGUUCGUACAAACAAUGUGGGUUAUGCCCAACAUCUGCUUUCCUUCUGGGAGUCAGAUUUUCAUAUGUGUUAGGCAGAGGAUGAGGUGAGCAGCUCCCAAUGAGAACCCUGAACACUGAGUCUGUAAUGAGCUUCCCUUGUAUACAACAUUGCACAUGGGUUGUCACAACUGAUUGCUGGAGGAAUUGUGUCCUAUGUGACUCUGCUGGGAGAGGACUGUGGGAGGCUUACACCUGGUUUCCCUGGACUUUGUCCAUGCGCUUUUUUCCUUUGCUGAUUUUGCUUCCUAGCCUUUCGCUGUAGUAAAACAUAGCCAUGAGUAUGACUACAGGCUGAGUCUGUGAAUCUCCUAGUACAUCAUCAGACUAGGAGGUGGUGGUGUUGGCACCCCCCAGCACAGGGCACAAGGGAGACUUGCAGGGUGUUUGUCAUGUUCCCUUUCUCAAUCUGGGUGUGGUUUACAGAUUUGUUCAGUUUGUGAAAAUUCACUGAGCUCUAUGAACAAUUAUAAUAUGUACAUUUUUUUCUGUAAGUGUAUUAAAUUUCAAUAAAAAGAAUUCACACUAUAGGGGUACAAAAUAA